rnacentral:rRNA from 1 species
CACGUAGGGUGCGAGCGUUGUCCGGAAUUAUUGGGCGUAAAGAGCUCGUAGGCGGUUUGUUGCGUCGGCUGUGAAAUCCCGAGGCUCAACCUCGGGUCUGCAGUCGAUACGAGCAAACUAGAGUGUUGCAGGGGAGACUGGAAUUCCUGGUGUAGCGGUGAAAUGCGCAGAUAUCAGGAGGAACACCGGUGGCGAAGGCGGGUCUCUGGGCAACAACUGACGCUGAGGAGCGAAAGCGUGGGGGAGCGAACAGG